rnacentral:rRNA from 1 species
UACGAAGGGGGCUAGCGUUGCUCGGAAUCACUGGGCGUAAAGCGCACGUAGGCGGGUUGCUAAGUCAGGGGUGAAAUCCUGGAGCUCAACUCCAGAACUGCCUUUGAUACUGGCGGCCUUGAGUCCGGGAGAGGUGAGUGGAACUGCGAGUGUAGAGGUGAAAUUCGUAGAUAUUCGCAAGAACACCAGUGGCGAAGGCGGCUCACUGGCCCGGUACUGACGCUGAGGUGCGAAAGCGUGGGGAGCAAACUAGG